CUACAUAUCUCCCUACCUCCUGUGACAUCCCACUAUGCCACAAAAAAAUGAAACCCCAAACAAAUGGCUUCCGUGGUCACAUCAAACUGCCUCGUCCGCCAUGAAAAACGGUUGCUCUUCAGCAUACAGCAGCAACCCCUGCGCGACUGUCAGGAGAUUCGCCGUUUUCCCCUUUGAGUGUGUGUGGAAUGUGUGGCUGCUGUUGUUGCGAUCAAUCCCAAUUUAACAGACACCAGCUCAAAGUCAACCUUCAGGGAGCCAUGAAAGCUGACAGAUGUUGCUGUGUGAAGUCUGGGAACUGUCCUCAAGUGAUGUCACUUGAGUCAGUGUUGGGGCUGAAGACUACAGAUAGGCAGCCAAGCAGGCCUCUAAACACCAGACUGACACUGUGUUCUACUUAAUCUUGGAUGAGGAGCAGCGGUAACAGAAUCCAAAGAAGGGAUGAACUGGGAGCUGGAAGAGAGAGAGAGAGGAGAGCUGCUGUCAACAAGCUCUUAUGGCUAUCUGUAGGAGUGAGUGCAGGACUAAUCUACGCUGUAAAACAUCUAAAUCCUCCUCUAGAUGUUCACUUCAGAAACAUUACUGCAUCAGUGGCAUCCAAAGUUUUGAGCUGCUGGCCUUCAACAUAAAAAGCAAAUAACUCCAGUUUUUGUAAAUUUCCGCAUUGUGGGACUAAUAAAGGAUUAUCUUAUCUUAUCUUA